rnacentral:lncRNA from 1 species
AUCAGAAUAACAGGUGGGACCGAAACAUCCUUCCCCUUGUGAAUCUGUGAGAGAGUGAAAGCUGAGAACCAAUACUUUGGAAGCUCUUUUAUGCAGCCCCCCAGUACACAGCUGUAUAUUCUUCGCUGUGGGUCCCUCCAGCUGUAGCAUGUGGGACGCUGCCUCAGCGUGGCCCGAUGACCAGUGCCAUGUCCGUGCCCAGGAUUCGAACCAACGAAACACUGGGCCGCCUGCAGCGGAGCGCACGGACUUAACCACUCAGCCACGGGGCCAGCCCCGAUGCUCUACUAUUUUAUUACAUGUCACUUCAUUAACUGCCUCUCCCCCAUCCUCUCUACUCUCCUUCUGGGACUCUGAAGAGAUGUAUGAAAUGGGUGAACCCCACAUCUUCUCUCAGAAAGUAGUCGGAACCCUGACCUUCUGUGAUGAAGAAGACCGUGUAAGUUCCAGGUAGAAUGACUGCUGUUACCCGUUGCAGGGGCACCACUCACGUCACCGUCUAGGACGGACAGAGCGGGAGGAGACGGCUGAAGAGGCAGAAGAAGGGGUCUCCCCGAUGCUGAUGGGACCGGAAUGGGACUCGGGGGGAUGGAUAGUGAUUCCUUCCUCGUGUGGUUUUGAGGCCAUGAGAUUCCCUCAGCGGCCUGGCCUGAAGAGUCGGGAGAGGGCAGCCUGGUUAACUGCAGAUACGAGGUGGCAUCCUAACCCAAGAUUCAGGUUCGGAUGAUCAGUCUUUAGCUGGAUAGAACCCGUGGAAGUGACACAUGCCAACAGACGGAGGAAACUCGAUUCUUUUAAUAACUCUCAUGUUUGCAUCGCAUGUUAGAAGUAUGAAAUAUUUUCAUCGCUAUAGUUGAGUCUCACAAAAAAUCGAUGGAAAAGGCAGAGCAGGUAUUACCUCACCUUAGAGGGGAAAAAACUGAGCCUCAGAAAGGUGAAGCUCCUUCCUCUUAUAGCCACACACACGACAAAUGGCAGAGCCAAGGUCCAAAUCCAGGUCUGUCUAAAGUCUCAUGAGGAGUUCUCUCUACCGUAGAGAAGUGUUUUUAUUUUGUGUUCGUUUCUGUUCUUAAUUGAAAGGAAGGGAGUAGGUCAUAUCAUGGAGUUCUGGGGGAUCUAAAGUACCCGAGCCUGGGAGAUUCAUCCCUCAGUCACUUUGUAGAUGUCAGCUGAGGGCCAAUCAAGAAGGGCCUUGAAUGCCAAGCUGAGGAGCUGGGACUUUAUCCCAAGGGCACUAGGGGGCCAUGGAGGGUUUGGGCAGAGGAGAAACAGGGUC